UGGGGAAUAUUGCACAAUGGGCGCAAGCCUGAUGCAGCCAUGCCGCGUGUAUGAAGAAGGCCUUCGGGUUGUAAAGUACUUUCAGUCGGGAGGAAGGUGGUAAGGUUAAUAACCUUAUCAAUUAACGUUACCGACAGAAGAAGCACCGGCUAACUCCGUGCCAGCAGCCGCGGUAAUACGGAGGGUGCAAGCGUUAAUCGGAAUUACUGGGCGUAAAGCGCACGCAGGCGGUUGAUUGAGUCAGAUGUGAAAUCCCCGGGCUUACCCCGGGAAUUGCAUCUGGUACUGGUCAGCUAGAGUCUUGUAGAGCGGGGUAGAAUUCCAUGUGUAGCGGUGAAAUGCGUAGAGAUGUGGAGGAAUCCCGGUUGCGAAGGCGGCCCCCUGGACAAAGACUGACGCUCAGGUGCGAAAGCGUGGGGAGCAAACAGG
rnacentral:rRNA from 1 species